rnacentral:lncRNA from 1 species
GUGAGCCUGCGGCCUGUCGCUCAGUAGGAAGCCCAUCAAACUGCUCUCCAUCCUCUGAUGGGGUGUUACUGACGGAACCCGAAAAAUCUGUCCUGAUGAGUAAUUUCCAUCGUUCUGUCGAAUUUCCAUUUCAUCCAAUUUUGGCAUUUAACUAGGGAAUGUUUCUGGAGUGCAGUAUUUUGUACUCCCCUGCCCGUUGUCAUUUUUAAGGAAAUGUGAAUUUGAGCUUUACAGUUAAACCUAGUAUUCUCUGACUUCAUCUAAACUCAUAAAUCAUUAACGUGCAAGAGAUGCAUGCAUUAGUACAGGUACAAGAUUUUAAAACGUGGAAGUGGAUUUAUGUUCUUCCCAUGGAGUUUCCUCUUUGCAGAAGAAUAUUUGUAACUCAUGAAGACACAUUUUUAACAUUAAAUGAUCAUCAGAUUUAUGUAAGUAACAUCUUUUUAAGAAAAUAUGUAAGAUAUAUAGAACUCCUUUCUGGUUAUUAUUUUUAGGUCUCAUGCUUGCUUUUUGCAUUUUUUUUCCAGAAGUUUAUUUCAAAGUUAAUACCGUGCUCCCCCCCACCAAAAAAAAGUUAAGCCAAGAGUUGAUCGUUGCUAAUUUAUCCUUUUUCUACAAUUUGUUGUAUAAAGUGAGGCAGAGAUGAAAUUAUACAAUUGAUACUUCUGAAUCUAGAUUUCUUCUCUUUUUGCCACUUAAUCUCUAUGUAUGUAAUGUAGGUGUUUUGGAGUUUUUAGAAUAGAAUUUCAAAAGUGCCUACAUACAUGUUUAAGCCUCUGUAUCUUUACCUUCUAGUGAAAAUUAGCAUUCUAGAAAUCUAGUUCUUCGUUGUUUAAAAAGUGGGGGGCACACACCUUUUUGUAAGGUCAGAAGCCCUGCAUAUCCCUCGUGAAGACCCUGUCUUUGCCUUGGGACAGUCCCGAAACCAAGUGUCAUGCUUGGUCCUCGCUGCUCCCAUCUGAGUUUAUCCCCUUCCUGAGUGACAUGCGUGCACGAAUGAGCACACAGGGGCUGCCUCCCUGUCACACCCGCCCACUCUUCACAUGGGCCUCUCGGCUGUAGCAGUUUUUAUAUGGGUGACUAAUGAAAUAUUUUAAAGAACUAAAAAAUAAAGAUUAAGUGGCAGUAUAAGUGGCAGGAGCAAUAGGCAGUAAUCAUAAAAGAUUUUGCUAUUUAAUCUUUUUAUGUUUAAUGCAUUACAGCAUGAAGACUUUUGUAUUAAAUCAAGAUUUGUAAUCUGACAAAUUCUAAAAUGACAGUGAUUCAUUCUUGAUUCACCACUAAAGAAAAUUUUUAAUUUUUUUAAUUUACAGAGCAAUUCUUUUUUUAUCUUCAAAAUUGUUUCAUUGUCUCUUUAUACAUUGGAUGAUAUUUACUUAAUCCAAUUUUGUAUUGGAAAUGGAUAGUUAUUGCCAACAGUGACUGUGCUGGCUUUAAGAAUAAUAAAAAUAGUUUUU